rnacentral:rRNA from 1 species
GAUGAACGCUGGCGGCGUGCUUAACACAUGCAAGUCGAACGGAAAGGCCCAAGCUUGCUUGGGUACUCGAGUGGCGAACGGGUGAGUAACACGUGGGUUAUCUGCCCUGCACUUCGGGAUAAGCCUGGGAAACUGGGUCUAAUACCGGAUAGGACGAUGGUUUGGAUGCCAUUGUGGAAAGUUUUUUCGGUGUGGGAUGAGCUCGCGGCCUAUCAGCUUGUUGGGGGGGUAAUGGCCUACCAAGGCGUCGACGGGGAGCCGGCCUGAGAGGGUGUGCGGCCACAGUGGGGCUGGGAUACGGCCCAGAAUCCUACGGGGGGGAGGAGGGGGGAAUAUUGGACAAUGGGCGCAAGGCUGAUGCAGCGACGCCGCGUGGGGGGUGAAGGCCUUCGGGUUGUAAACUCCUUUCGCUAGGGACGAAGCGUUUUUGUGACGGUACCUGGAGAAGAAGCACCGGCUAACUACGUG